GAUGAACGCUGGCGGCGUCCUAAUACAUGCAAGUCGAGCGAACGGACGAGAAGCUUGCUUCUCUGAUGUUAGCGGCGGACGGGUGAGUAACACGUGGAUAACCUACCUAUAAGACUGGGAUAACUUCGGGAAACCGGAGCUAAUACCGGAUAAUAUUUUGAACCGCAUGGUUCAAAAGUGAAAGACGGUCUUGCUGUCACUUAUAGAUGGAUCCGCGCUGCAUUAGCUAGUUGGUAAGGUAACGGCUUACCAAGGCAACGAUGCAUAGCCGACCUGAGAGGGUGAUCGGCCACACUGGAACUGAGACACGGUCCAGACUCCUACGGGAGGCAGCAGUAGGGAAUCUUCCGCAAUGGGCGAAAGCCUGACGGAGCAACGCCGCGUGAGUGAUGAAGGUCUUCGGAUCGUAAAACUCUGUUAUUAGGGAAGAACAUAUGUGUAAGUAACUGUGCACAUCUUGACGGUACCUAAUCAGAAAGCCACGGCUAACUACGUG
rnacentral:rRNA from 1 species